GAUGAACGCUGGCGGCGUGCCUAAUACAUGCAAGUCGAGCGAACAGAUGAGGAGCUUGCUCCUCUGACGUUAGCGGCGGACGGGUGAGUAACACGUGGAUAACCUACCUAUAAGACUGGGAUAACUUCGGGAAACCGGAGCUAAUACCGGAUAAUAUAUUGAACCGCAUGGUUCAAUAGUGAAAGACGGUUUUGCUGUCACUUAUAGAUGGAUCCGCGCCGCAUUAGCUAGUUGGUAAGGUAACGGCUUACCAAGGCGACGAUGCGUAGCCGACCUGAGAGGGGGAUCGGCCACACUGGAACUGAGACACGGUCCAGACUCCUACGGGAGGCAGCAGUAGGGAAUCUUCCGCAAUGGGCGAAAGCCUGACGGAGCAACGCCGCGUGAGUGAUGAAGGUCUUCGGAUCGUAAAGCUCUGUUAUUAGGGAAGAACAAAUGUGUAAGUAACUAUGCACGUCUUGACGGUACCUAAUCAGAAAGCCACGGCUAACUACGUG
rnacentral:rRNA from 1 species